GGCCCCGUAGCUCAGCAUGGAUAGAGCGCGGGCCUUCUAAGCCCGAGGUCCCGGGUUCGAAUCCCGGCGGGGCCGCCA
rnacentral:tRNA from 1 species